UACGUAGGGACCAAGCGUUGUUCGGAUUUAUUGGGCGUAAAGGGUAGGUAGGUGGUCUCAUUUGUCUGGGGUGAAAGCCUUGAGCUUAACUCAAGAAGUGCCCUAGAAACGGUGAGACUGGAGUCUUGGAGAGGGUCGUGGAAUUCCCGGUGUAGCGGUGAAAUGCGUAGAGAUCGGGAGGAACACCAGAGGCGAAGGCGGCGACCUGGACAAGCACUGACACUCAACUACGAAAGCGUGGGUAGCAAACAGG
rnacentral:rRNA from 1 species